UACGUAGGGUCCGAGCGUUGUCCGGAAUUACUGGGCGUAAAGAGCUCGUAGGUGGUUUGUCGCGUUGUCCGUGAAAACUCACAGCUCAACUGUGGGCGUGCGGGCGAUACGGGCAGACUGGAGUACUGCAGGGGAGACUGGAAGUUCCUGGUGUAGCGGUGGAAUGCGCAGAUAUCAGGAGGAACACCGGUGGCGAAGGCGGGUCUCUGGGCAGUAACUGACGCUGGAGGAGCGAAAGCAUGGGGAGCGAACAGG
rnacentral:rRNA from 1 species